rnacentral:rRNA from 1 species
AACGAACGCUGGCGGCAUGCCUAACACAUGCAAGUCGAACGAGACCUUCGGGUCUAGUGGCGCACGGGUGCGUAACACGUGGGAAUCUGCCCUUUGCUUCGGAAUAACAGUUAGAAAUGACUGCUAAUACAGGAUGAUGUCGAAAGACCAAAGAUUUAUCGGCAAAGGAUGAGCCCGCGUAGGUUUAGGUAGUUGGUGGGGUAAAGGCCUACCAAGCCGACGAUCCUUAGCUGGUCUGAGAGGAUGAUCAGCCACACUGGGACUGAGACACGGCCCAGACUCCUACGGGAGGCAGCAGUGGGGAAUAUUGGACAAUGGGCGAAAGCCUGAUCCAGCAAUGCCGCGUGAGUGAUGAAGGCCUUAGGGUUGUAAAGCUCUUUUACAAGGGAUGAUAAUGACGGUACCGGGAGAAUAAGCACCGGCUAACUCCGUG